AGUCGAACGAGAGAUGAGGAGCUUGCUCUUCAAAUCGAGUGGCGAACGGGUGAGUAACGCGUGAGGAACCUGCCUCAAAGAGGGGGACAACAGUUGGAAACGACUGCUAAUACCGCAUAAGCCCACGGCUCGGCAUCGAGCAGAGGGAAAAGGAGUGAUCCGCUUUGAGAUGGCCUCGCGUCCGAUUAGCUAGUUGGUGAGGUAAUGGCCCACCAAGGCGACGAUCGGUAGCCGGACUGAGAGGUUGAACGGCCACAUUGGGACUGAGACACGGCCCAGACUCCUACGGGAGGCAGCAGUGGGGAAUAUUGCACAAUGGGGGAAACCCUGAUGCAGCGACGCCGCGUGGAGGAAGAAGGUCUUCGGAUUGUAAACUCCUGUUGUUGAGGAAGAUAAUGACGGUACUCAACAAGGAAGUGACGGCU
rnacentral:rRNA from 1 species